GUGGAAGCGAGCUUGCUCACGAUGGCAGUGUGUCGGUCAACAGCCGUGUUAUUGAUCCACCGCUAUCGCGAGCAAGCUCGCUCCCAC
rnacentral:misc_RNA from 1 species